ACCACACACUGACAACAUGCUGGGGACCCUCUGCACUCUCAUCACUGCUCUAACAUAUGUUGAUGCAGUGAAAGUGGUGACCCAGACGCCUGCUGUCCACACAGUUUCUGCAGGACAAAAGGUUGUUCUCCACUGCAGCAUUCAGAGAUAUGAUAAUAAAUAUGUCUUCUGGUAUAAGCAGGUUCCUAAUGAACCUCCUGAGAAUGUUCUCCAAUUUAACCAUGGUCAAAGUUCACCCAGCUUUGGAACAGGAUUCUCCUCAGACAGAUUCAACUCUAAAUCCACAUCAAACAUAGAUUACCAGUUCAUCAUUAAGAGGGCAGAGGCAGGAGACUCUGCUGUCUAUUACUGUGCUACAUGGGACGACAUUGCUAAGAAACACACCAACUGAACCUGCCCAACUUCCGCCCAUCAGCUCAUCAGCCUGUCAGUAUUUCAAGCCCGGCUCUACUUUCUCUUCUGACCUGCAAUAAAUGCAGUCAGAAUUUCGUGAAGGUGUUGUGUUAACUUUGCAAAUGUAUUAAGACCCAGUCAAUAAAAAAAGCAUU